CCUUGUACACACCGCCCGUCACGCCAUGGAAGCCGGUAGUGCCCGAAGUCCGUGUCCUAACCCGCAAGGGAGGGAGCGGCCGAAGGCAAGAUCGGUGACUGGGGCG
rnacentral:rRNA from 1 species